GUGAGUAUCGCCUAGCGGUUAGGGCGCCAGGUUGUGGCCCUGGAGACCGUGGGUUCGAAUCCCACUACUCACCCCA
rnacentral:tRNA from 1 species